UACGUAGGGUGCAAGCGUUUGUCCGGAAUUAUUGGGCGUAAAGAGCUCGUAGGCGGUUUGUCGCGUCUGCUGUGAAAACCCGAGGCUCAACCUCGGGCCUGCAGUGGGUACGGGCAGACUAGAGUGCGGUAGGGGAGAUUGGAAUUCCUGGUGUAGCGGUGAAAUGCGCAGAUAUCAGGAGGAACACCGAUGGCGAAGGCAGGUCUCUGGGCCGAUACUGACGCUGAGGAGCGAAAGCGUGGGGAGCAAACAGG
rnacentral:rRNA from 1 species